rnacentral:rRNA from 1 species
GAUGAAUGCUGGCGGCGUGCCUAAUACAUGCAAGUCGAGCGGUAACACUUCGGGUGACGAGCGGCGGACGGCAGAGUAACGCGUAGGAACGUACCCCAAACUGAGGGAUAACGCACCGAAAGGUGUGCUAAUACCGCAUGUGAUCUUCGGAUUAAAGCUUCGGCGGUUUGGGAACGGCCUGCGUAUGAUUAGCUUGUUGGUGAGGUAAUGGCUCACCAAGGCGACGAUCAUUAGCUGGUCUGAGAGGAUGAUCAGCCUGACUGGAACUGAGACACGGUCCUGACUCCUACGGGAGGCAGCAGUAGGGAAUUUUCCUCAAUGGGCGAAAGCCUGAUGGAGCAACGCCGCGUGCAGGAUGAAGGCCUUCGGGUUGUAAACUGCUUUUGUCUGUGAAGAUUAUGACGGUAGCAGACGAAUAAGGACCGGCUAACUACGUGCCAGCAGCCGCCGUAA